CGGGCAGCGGGCGCGGGCGAGCGUCUCAGUGCGCGUUUUUUGCUACUCACCGAACAUUGCGCAGUCCCGGCGCUGUAGCAGAAAUGUUCCUCGCGUCUGUGCUUGCUACAUACCCGAGUUGUAGCCGAUGGCUGUCUGCCGGUUCUAAGUUUCGCCAGCCAAGCUUCAUGCAGCUCCCUUCCCUGUGGCUACGUGUGAAUAAGGCUGACACCGGGCUCCGUUGCGUGCGUCCGACACUGCGGCAUGGAGCAGUAACCUACCAAGCUGCACGCCUCCAAAGGCAGCUACUACCUAUUAUAGUACUUUCAAAUGUUGUCAAGCAGACACCCAAGGCGGUAAAGCCUCACCACUUAAUCAGAACCGCGGCGCAGGUGGGGCCUUAAACUUUCGUUUUCAGCUCGCUUCGGCGCUUCCGAAGCAGUCGACGCGGCCGCUGUGUCCACGUGAUCCCUCAUGCCACGUCACGCCGACGGUCGCGCUAGCUUUUCCAGUGGUCGAGCUCGCCGCCAAUAUAAAUUACAGUCAGCUUGUAUUAAUUCAGACUCCUCUAUACCACAGAUAUUUGUUUGAGUCAUCUGUUGUAUGAUACAAAACAAAAUUAGGGGCUAUUAUAUGUACAAAAACUGCACAAGCACAUUUAGAAUAGCACAGCUGUGAACGGGCAGCCAAGUUGGUGGCAGUGCUUACUGGCACCCUCCAGCAUAAAACAAGGGCACAUCUGUGACCAUUCAGUCCUUGGAAUAUUCAUCACCAGUUGUUUUUGACUGCACUGCUCUUUUCUGGAAAGGAUGAACCAAAAGCAUUGUUCAAAUGAACCAGUUUCAAUAUGCACUGAAAAUGUAACUUGCUAAUAAAUACCAUGAGACUUGUUUGAAUUAACUGACAUUCUAAAUUACCAGCAUUUAAAUUAUGAUGAGUUGAUUGUUCAUGCAAAGGCACCAGUACUCUGUGAAAAGAAACGACUGUUGUGUUAUGUACAUACUAAUUUAUUUCUGUGACAAGAAUGCAAGCGUCGAAAGAUGGGGUGAUGUAAUGUAAAAAGCAGUCGUUUGCAAUCACACUUUUCACUGCACAUUGCUUCGAUGAUGAGCUUGACACAAGGACUUUACGUUCAUCAGUGUGCAGCACUUCAAGAAAGAAGAAAAAACGAAGAACGCAAGAGUGCACAGGUAGCCAACACACAAUGCCAAGAGUGAGAACAAGUUUAACAUUGUACAUAAACAAGCAGAUGCAAGUGGAUGGAAUCUGAUGCGUGUGUGCAUUUUCUAGUCGGCAUGAAUAAACAGGAGCUUCUAUGUUUUUUU
rnacentral:lncRNA from 1 species